rnacentral:rRNA from 1 species
GAUUAACGCUAGCGGCAGGCAUAAUACAUGCAAGUUGAACGUGAUCAAUUGUAGCAAUAUGAUUGUGAAAGUGGCGCACGGGUGCGUAACGCGUAUGCAACCUGCCUCCAACCGGGGAAUAGCCCCUCGAAAGAGGGAUUAAUACCGCAUAACAUAACCGGACGGCAUCGCCUGGUUAUACAAAUCAAGGUGGUUGGAGAUGGGCAUGCGUGACAUUAGCUAGUUGGUGAGGUAACGGCUCACCAAGGCAACGAUGUCUAAGGGGGUCU